rnacentral:rRNA from 1 species
GUAGGGAAUAUUGGGCAAUGGACGAAAGUCUGACCCAGCCAUGCCGCGUGCAGGAUUGAAAGCUCUAUGAGUUGUAAACUGCUUUUAUCUGGGACGAAAAUAACCUUUCUAGGUGAACUGACGGUACCAGAGGAAUAAGGACCGGCUAACUACGUGCCAGCAGCCGCGGUAAUACGUAGGGUCCAAGCGUUAUCCGGAUUUACUGGGUUUAAAGGGUGCGUAGGUGGUUUGAUAAGUUAGUGGUGAAAUCUUCCGGCUUAACCGGGAAACUGCCAUUAAAACUGUCUUACUUGAAUGUAAUCGAGGCGAGUGGAAUGUAUCAUGUAGCGGUGAAAUGCUUAGAUAUGAUACAGAACACCAAUUGUGAAGGCAGCUCGCUAGACUAUUAUUGACACUGAGGCACGAAAGCGUGGGGAGCAAACAGGAUUAGAAACCCCGGUAGUCC